CGACUGCUUACGCGUGCGCGCCCUCCCGGGAGCGCGCUAGUACUUGCACUGGGCGGAGUCUCCCAGAGAGUCCCAGCCUCUGUCCAGCUCGGCCUCACGCAGCUGGCGAAGCUCUUUCUGCCACGCGGGCAUUAGGUGCAGUCAUUUCACCUUGAAAUCCGAGAAAGAAGAGAAAUCUGCACUCCUUCCCCUUCCCUUUUCCCACUCCUGAAACAUCCGCGCCACCCCCUGCGCCCCCGCGAUUAACCCUGCGAACGAGAAGUUUGCCCUGACACACCUAGUUCAACCACUUCUUGAAAUUCGGAGAUAAACUGAACCGUAUGAAGCAAGUGCUUUACAUUCAUUAUCCCCUUGAUCUUCCCAACAACCCUGAAAGAAGAUGAUGACAAUUCCCAUUACAGAGGAGGAAAGCUCCAAAACGUUAACUGUGCAACAUCUCUCAGCUGGAUUAGCAGGUUGGGCUCAGUGGGAAAGAAGUCCCCUGUUACCAGCCAUCUGUGUUCCGUUCUUCACUUCUGAAACAAGACAGCUCCAAAACUGAACUGGAGAGGGAGUUGGAGCUGCAUACAGAUCAGCAGAGCUGUUGCUAACAGCCCUGACGCCUGCAGGAUGACUCAACCCUCUGUGCCUGGCAGAGUCAGCUGUGGUCCCCUGGAGCCUCCUACUCUUGGGGGAACAUCAGAGAUGUAGCAAAAUGCCAAUAUCCUUGAUCUUAGGCAGGAAUUCAGGCCAGGAGGAUAGGUAGGGGCACCUUGAGCCUUCAUCUGAGAGUCUGCCUGAGGAUGGGGGAAGGAUUAAAUGUGACAACGAGGAAAACACAAUCCUUUAUACACUUCAACUGCUCUGCAAAAUAAAUAAACUGCCCACAGGAUGGGAGUAAGCAAAAGCCAUAUGGCUGUGUCACCAGGAAUCUCACUCACUUCCUGGGUGAAUUUUACUUAGGUACAGGCAUCUCCUGCUGUUCCCUCACUUUCUGAGGAGCCCAAAUACUCUUCCCGUCCUUACACAGCACCAUUAUACCUGAGAAUAUUCUUGUGCCAAGCAGUUGCUACCUUCAGCCCUCGCCCCUGCACCAUUCACUCAGAUCUCUGAGAUGAAGGCAAUUAGGAGUAAGCUACUCACAUAGGGUGCCAGGAGGCAUCUGGAUUUGUCCUAUACCACUACAUGAACACCUGCUCCACACCCCACCCCAACUAUCCCAGGAUUCCUCAAAAAGCUUUCCUUUCAGCUGGCUCCUUAUCACUCACCAAUAACUCCCUGUUGUCAUGGCAACCCAAAGAAAUGGUUGAAGUUGCCAAUAAAGGCAUCUGCAAGAGCUCCCUAAACUCAGAUUCCUUUAAAAACAAUAGUACAUUCAACCAUUGUGGAAAGCAGUAUGGAGGUUCCUCAAAAAACUCAAAAUAGAAAUACCAUUUGACCCAGGAAUUCCCCUCCUAGGAAUUUACCCUAAGAAUGCAGCAGCCCAGUUUGAAAAAGACAUAUGCACCCCUGUGUUUAUCACAGUACUAUUCACAAUAGCCAAGAAAUGGAAGCAGCCUAAGUAUCCAUCAGUAGAUGAAUGGAUAAAGAAGAUGUGGUACAUAUACACAAUGGCAUAUUAUUCAGUCAUAAGAAGAAAACAAAUCCUACCAUUUGCAACAACAUGGAUGGAGCUAGAGGGUAUUAUGCUCAGUGAAAUAAGCCAGGCAGAGAAAGACAAGUACCAAAUGAUUUCACUCAUCUGUGGAGUAUAAGAACAAAGAAAAAACUGAAGGAGCAAAACAGCAGCAGACUCACAGAACCCAAGAAUGGACUAACAGUUACCAAAGGGAAAGGGACUGGGGAGGAUGGGUGGGAAGGGAGGGAUAAGG